UCUUACGGUGGGCGGUGCGUGGGGAUCCCUGAUCCGCCGGUUUUUGGUUCAGUAGCCCGGUAUGCCAACCCGCAUCGCCCGCCACCUUG
rnacentral:antisense_RNA from 1 species